ACCUGUGUGAUUAUGUAUCAUCCGAUUGUCUUUAUGCCUAUGGCAAUCAUUUUCUUCAUAGACUUGAGAAAUACUACCCAAUAAAGUCAAGAAAGUAUAAGAAACCUAUAAGGGUACGAAGCCGUUGUAAAUUUUGCUACAUGAAUUUAAAAGAGGAAAAAAGUAUUGGAUAUGCGCAAAGUAGAGCAGCUCGAGUUUCGACAAUUUGCAUUUCGUGUCCAGACACACCAUUUCUUUGUGUCAAAUGCUUCGAAGCUUAUCAUGCUCGUAUUUUUAUAAAUUUAAAUUAAUUUAUUUAUAAAAAAAAAAUGACGUUUACUUAAUUGUUUGUAAAUACACAAUAACAAAAUUUGAUGAAUAAAAUUGUUUCAAGCACA